AACUUUCAACAACGGAUCUCUUGGUUCUGGCAUCGAUGAAGAACGCAGCGAAAUGCGAUAAGUAAUGUGAAUUGCAGAGUUCAGUGAAUCAUCGAAUCUUUGAACGCACAUUGCGCCCUUUGGUACUCCUUAGGGCAUGCCUGUUUGAGUGUCA
rnacentral:rRNA from 1 species